rnacentral:rRNA from 1 species
UACGUAGGGUGCGAGCGUUGUCCGGAAUUAUUGGGCGUAAAGAGCUCGUAGGCGGUGUGUCACGUCGGCCGUGAAAACCUGGGGCUUAACUCUGGGCGUGCGGUCGAUACGGGCAUCACUAGAGUUCGGCAGGGGAGACUGGAAUUCCUGGUGUAGCGGUGAAAUGCGCAGAUAUCGGGAGGAACACCAAUGGCGAAGGCAGCUCGCUGGGACGGUACUGACGCUGAGGCGCGAAAGCGUGGGGAGCAAACAGG